AUUUGUUGUUGCAGCCCUUGUUUCAACUGUUGUGUAACAUGGUCUUUGGAGAAAAUUGGACAUUUACUUCCUGAAUCAAGAGUUCUCUAAAAUAAAGUUAACAACUCUUUAAAUGUCCUCCCCGUACAGUAUAAUGGAGCGGAAACACUGCUGGCUCAUCCCAUUAAUGAUGCAGAGUUCUGGACACGAGAGAGAUGUCUGAGAAGAUGAGAAGGAGAAGUCACUCAGAGCCUGCAUGGAGACUUCUAAAUCCACAAAUGAAACAGGGGAGGAGAGGAGCGGCCUAGAUGAAGUCCAUAGGGCUCCUGACGUUUCUCUGAGACAUCGCCUUGGUGGGUUAGAAAGGGAGAGGAAGGAAGAAAGAGACCCGGAGAGGGUCUCCUAUCGGGAGGGCUGAGGGGAACACAGAGCAAAGUCACUUUUACAUAAUGAGUACUGUUGGAUAGACAUGUGGCGACAGCCUUAAAGAACCUUAAACCUCUCUCUGAUGACAACCUCAGUAAGAGCUUUGAUGACAGAGACAAAGAUAGUUACGGAAAGUUUCCAAUCCUGAUUCAGUUGGAUUUGCGGCUCCGAAGCGAUUUAUGAAACUCUGGACCGGUAAAAUAACAAAAUACGUUGCCCAGAACACAAUUUCACAAUAAACACACUACUUGUAAAUGAUUUGAGAUAUUUACUUUGUUUUAAUUUAUUAAAUGCCUGAAUUCUAAUUAGCAUGUGGAUUUUGCUUAGAAAAAUGAAACAAUAAGAAUCCACUUGCUUUAUUAAAUCAUAAUUAUACGCAGUAGGAUGCAUUUUUCACAGCGAAACCUUUGAUUUGUCACAGCAAGAAUAUAGUACCAGUGUAACACAACCUAAU
ensembl:lncRNA